rnacentral:rRNA from 1 species
AGCAGCCGCGGUAAUUCCAGCUCCAAUAGCGUAUAUUAAAGUUGUUGCAGUUAAAAAGCUCGUAGUUGAAUUUCGGGGUUAGUAGAUUGGUCAUGCCUCUGGUAUGUACUGGUCUCACUGAUUCCUCCUUCCUGAUGAACCUUAAUGCCAUUAAUUUGGUGUUUUGGGGAAUUUGGACUGUUACUUUGAAAAAAUUAGAGUGUUUAAAGCAAGCUAACGCUUGAAUACAUUAGCAUGGAAUAAUGAUAUAGGACGUUCGAUCCUAUUUUGUUGGUUUCUAGGAUUGACGUAAUGAUUAAUAGGGAUAGUUGGGGGCAUUAGUAUUCAAUUGUCAGAGGUGAAAUUCUUGGAUUUAUUGAAGACUAACUACUGCGAAAGCAUUUGCCAAGGAUGUUUUCAUUAAUCAAGAACGAAAGUUAGGGGAUCGAAGACGAUCAGAUACCGUCGUAGUCUUAACCAUAAACUAUGCCGACUAGGGAUCGGAUGAUGUUAAUUUUUUAAUGACUCA